CUUCUAUAUUGAAAGUUGUGAGGGGUCACUGGAGGGACCUUGGAGUGUGGGAGGCCAGGGGGCAGUGAGGGGGUCAGUCUGAGAGAUUCCUUUGGGAACUUAGUCUCCUUGUCACCAUUUCCGUGAUCAAAACACUCAACAGGGCUAGGAUAGAAGUCAAACCUCAAAGUCUCUGAACUGGGAGGUAUAACUCCCCUUUUAUAACUGGAGAAAUUUGUUUGACUGUGAAAAGAAUAUAUUCUAUGUUUGUCUGUUUUGUAUCUUAAAUUCCUCAUAUGAGUGUAGAAUAUAUUAUUUUCUGGUCUAAAUGGGCAAGGGGCAUUAAGGAAUCUACUCCUGAAAUCAUUGUUGCACCAUAUGCUAACUAACUUGGAUGUAAAUUAAAUAAUAAAUAAAUUUAAAAAAGAAUAUAUUCUAAUUAUGAAGACAGACUUUCAAUGCGUACACUUGUAUUUAUGAUAUACUUUGCGAUUAUGGAAGAGUUACAUAAGAAUUUAACAUCAUAAAUCAUGCACUUAAACAUUUUGGUCGUUAGAUUUCAGAAAUGAUCUUCCAGCAAUAAUGCGGACAUAGAUAAAGAUCAUUGAGGUUUAGGAAUUGUUGAUCAGAUCAUUACAGUGGUGGAAUAAUUGUGUCACCUUUACUUGUGUAAAAUACUCUGAAAAACUCUCAAUAUUUCUAAGGAAUUUAUGUAUUUUUCAUGCCAGAUGAUUUAGUUUUUUUCUUUCCAGGGAUUUACUUCUGAAGUCUACUGUGAAACUCCUCUCUUCCAGAACUGUACCAUAGCAACUGAUUUUCUUUGCAGCUCAGCUGCUGUUGAACACAGUGUUAUCAUCUGCUUAGUGCCUGGUGGAGCAUAUGCCUUCUCUGUGGUAGUGUCAUACAUUCAAGGUGUUCAGUUAUUGACUACGUCUCUAUGUAAGGUAGGUCCUAAUUUUCUGGCAUUCAACACUGAGGCAUCUUAAAGGAAUUGAAAUCAGGCAAAAUGUAAACAUUUCCAGAGUAGAAUAUUAUGGGGUUAUAGGCCAAACUUUAAGGGUCGUUACACCUUUGCAUGCUUAAAUUUUCUAUUUGCCUCAGGAGUUAAGUGCUUGCGAACUAAAGGAUUUUUAACUUUAAAUGAUUUUAAAUGUUUACGUGAUUGGGGCAUAAUGGUAAGUGCAUUUUUUAACCUUUGGUCUUUUCACUUUGCACAUGCUACAAAAACAAUAUUUCUAACUACAAGGAAAAUAAGCCAUCUCCAAAAAUAGAAGAAAAAGUAGUUUUAGUAAUAUUUCAGAAAAACUCUACUAGAAAAGCUAUCAGGUCUCCCUUCUUAAGUUGAUCUUGAAAGGUUGGUUGAAGUAGUUUGUAUUUGGGAAGAAACUGUCCUGCUGGAAAUACAUUGGAUUCAAAUUCUUUGAGGUCAAGAACUUGGGAUAAUAGAAAUGUAUCAACCGAACAUCUGAUUUAUCUAUUUGGGUAGCAUAUGCUAGUGAAAGAAAUCCUGUUUCGGACUCCCUAAAUUCCACACCUGAAGCUAAUAUUACACUGUAUGUUAACCAACUGGAAUUUAAUAAAAACUUGAAAAAAAAAUAAAAAAAAAUAAAAGAAAUACCAUUUCUGUAUACUCUGAAGAGAGGGGAAAAAAGAUUAUGGAAAAGGUGUGUUCAUUAUAUUGUGCCUUACUCCAGACAUGAAUUGGUUCCUUGAUGUCUGUAAAAGCAGGUUCAAAAUCUUUACCUUGGCAAGAAAUUGUUAGACUAGCCUACAUUUUGAUAUAUAUUUGGUAGAUUAUUUAAAAGCUGUAUUUUAAAGUAUUUGAAGACAUGUGGGGUGUGCUCAUGGGGUAAAGUUUUAGAUGUGGGAUCAAACUCCUGGGUACUUAUUUGGGCUCCAUGUACCGGUAAUUACCUGGGUGACUCUCGUUGUGUCUUUCUGUCUUCCUGGGCCUCCCUCUUUAUGUUUUCUAAUCUUUAAGGGGUCUUAUCAACAUCAGUGCUACUCACUGGUCCGAGGAGUGAUUCUGCUAAAAGGUGCUGUGGAACUCACACGGAUUCUUGCCGCAUCAUCUGAGUGGGGGCCCUGUGAUCUGUGUGGAGUCCUAUCCUUUUUUGUUGGUGCCUAGUUUUUUUUUUUUCUUUUUUCCAAUUGCUGUCACUGACACAAGUGGAAACUCUUGAGCUGAAAUAUAACAGUAGUUCGUCAAAUGUUGAAAUUCUAGCCGAAGGGAUUUGGAAACCUGACUUGAUGAUUUUGGUGAUGAAAAGGAGGAUGAUGCUAGAUGAGAGGAGUUUUCCUUUGACUUUUAGAAGGCCCUUUAAUCAGUCAGUGCCUCUUUAGAAUCAAGCAAAUCAUUUCUCUAAAUUUUUAAAUGUAACAAUAUUGUGGUCAUUAUGACUGCAUAAUAGAAAGCUUAACCAGUUUAACGUAUUCACUAUAACUAGUUCUCCGGAUUUAGGAGCAAAAAUUACGUGCAGAGGCACACACACUCUUUGAGUUUGAACAGUUGUUUGUUUUAUAAUGCUGAGCCAAUCAUAAAAUUGCAUUUGAUUUUUCUCUUCUCCCCAGGUUUCCAAAGGAGUUUAUAAAGAAAAAUUCGAAUUUGAAAGAUUAUAUUGAUUUUUUUAAUUGCCUUUUCAGUAGUUUGUUAUGUAUUUGGUAAUAAGUGAUGUAUAAGAGAUAGUAAAAUUUUUCUAAUAAAGGUAAUAUGGAAGUUAUGUAUAGGAGGUAUGUGUGAUCUGUUAACUCUGUUGGUCCCUCCCUGUUAUCAUCUGUUAUUUUUUACAAGUGUAUGUGAAUCUAUAAUUAUCUCAUAAUAAAAAGUUAAACAAUUAUAUUUAGGUAUUAUUUUAAGCACAUUAUAUAUCUUACUUGAUUUAGCUCUUCUGAAGACUCAUUGAGACAAGUACUACUUUUAUAUCCAUUUUAUAGUUGGGAAACAGAGGGGCAGAGGGGUUAAAUCGAAGUUAAGUUCCUAUGGUUAGAAAAUGACAGAACUCGAAUUUAAACCGAGGCGGACUGACUCCACCGUCCAUGCAUGUAACACCUGUGAUUUGAAUAAUGUAGGCUAGAUUUAAAAGCUUUGUGGUUAGUAGUGAAAAUCAACUCUUUGAUUCCCUAUUUUAUGAUGAGUUCAGAUUGUACAGUAAAUAGUCUUUAUCAUUUUAUAGAAGGCAUUAUAUCAUUUAUAGAGGGCAUUUGAACCAUACUUUCCUAAGUUAUGUUUAUUAAGAGAAAAUGAUUACUAAUAAAAAUCUUUAGAGAUUUCUGUACAAAGGUGCUUGAAAAUUCUGGUUUAAAAAUUGACUAUACUUUUCACUGGAGCUUAACAUUUUCAGGAACCAUUUAGCCAUUCUGACAUUGUUAAAAGGAAAUAAUAGGCCAGUGGCCUAGAAAUUAGAUAUAUUUUGGUCUUUUAAAGACCUAAAUCUUCGACUGUAGAACUUUCGGUAAAGGUGGGUUAAAGGUUUUAGAUUCUCUGAAUCAGACAAUUGAGAGGUUUAGGGUGGUGGGGUAGGGAAAGCUAUAGACAUUUGGAAAGUAGGAACUGUUACCAUGACUCUGAAGAAACACUGUUUUGAUGGGGACUCAUGGACUUGUAGUAUCUUUGAUGAGGAAGAUAAAAUUAAUGUUUUUCAGUUUUUUUUCCUUUUAAAAUAUUUUAAAGAGGCAUAUCAUCUUUGUAAAAGAAUGACUAUUUAAUGAUACAUAAAGCACUGGAAGAAAAAUCGUGCAUAAUGUGUUUACUGCACAGCUUAAAAAACAGAUUAAUACCCUUUAAAUCACCACCUAUUUGCUGCUCCACGGUCACACCUACCCUCCUCUGACCCAAAGUUUAUCAUUCUACUGACUUAACUGAAUGGAUAUUUAUCCCAAAAUAGUAGGUUUUAUGUCUUUUAGGACUCUGUGUACCUUGUGUUGUUGUAUAUAUUCUUUUGAGACUUGGUUUUCUCAGUCAAUAUAUUUUUGGAUUUCCAUUGCAUUCAUGCAUGUAAAUAUGGUUCAUUUUCAAUGGGGCAGAGUUUCUACACUAUGUUAAGUUUAUUUUUACAUUUUUUGAGAGUGAGAAAUCGUGAGAGGGGCAGAAGGAGAGAGAAUCUUUUUUUUCCUUUUUUUUAAUGUUUAUUCAUUUUUGAGAGAGAGAGCGCGUGCGGGCAAGCGAGCGAGCAAGAAAGGCAAGAGGGGCAGAGAGAGAGAGGGAGACACAGAAUCUGAAGCAGGCUCCAGGCUCAGAGCUGUCCGCUCAGAGCCCUACCUGGGUCUGGAACCCACAAACUGUGAGAUCAUGACCUGAGCCGAAAUCAGAUGCUUAACUGACUGAACCACCCAGGCACCCCAAGAGAGAGAAAAUCUUAAGCCGGCCCCAUACCCAGCAUGGAUCUUGAUGUGGUACUUGAUCUCACAGCUGUGAGAUCAUGACCUGAACUGAAAUCAAGAGUUGGCUGUGGGGUGCCUGGGUGGCUCAGUCGGUUAAGUGUCCGACUUCAAUUCAGGGCAUGAUCUCACAGUCCGUGAGUUCAAGCCUGAGGCUCUUUGCUGUCAGUUCGGAGCCUGGAGCUUACUUUGGAUCCUGUGUCUCCCUCUCUCUCUGCCCCUACCCCAUUCACACUCUGUCUCUCUAUCAAAAAAAUGAGUAAAUGUUAAAAAAGAAAAUAAGUCGGCCGUUUAACCGACUGAACCACCCAGGUGCCCCUAGGGUUUAUUAAUCCUUAUUUGUCUUUCUUCUAUUGAAGCACUUUGGACUGUAUAUAAUUUCUUCUGUUUCAUUUUAUUAUUGAACAUUCAUAUUUUGUAUUUGAAGCACAUGGGCAAGAAUAUAUCUAAGGCAGGUAUAAGCAUAGAAAACAUAUUGCAAUAAAUAUUUAUUGAGAAAAAUAUUUUCAUCAUUUACAAAAUUAUGCCAAAUUGUUUUCCAAGUUGGGCAUGCCAGUUUCCAUUGUCUGUAUUUUUUCCCCUUACUUUUUAUUGUGGUGAAAUAUACAGAAUGUAAAUUUACCAUUUUAGCCACUUUAAGUGUAUCAUUUAGUGGCAUAAGUACAUUCAUAUUGUUGUACAACCAUCCCCACCAUCUGUCCUCAAAACUUUUCUGUUUUCCCCAGCUCCAACUCCGUACCUGUUAAACAUUGACUCCCCAUUUCCCUGCCCCUUCCCCCUCUAGCCUCAGACAAUCCCCAUUCUAUAUCAGUUUCUAUGAGUUUGAUUGUUUUUGGGUACCUCAUGUAAGUGGGAUCAUAUAAUAUUUGUCAUUUUGAGACUGGCUUAUUUCACAUAGCACAGUAUCUUCAAAGUCCAUUGCUGCUGCAACUUGUGUCAUAAUUUCUUUCUUAAGGCUGAAAAUCUGUAAUGCGUAUUUACCACAUUUGUUAAUCUGUUCAUCAGUCAGUGUUGUUCAGGGAUCAUCUUGUGUUUUUUUUUUCUAUCCAGCCCUGGAAUCAGUAAUUUCUCCAGAAGGUCCUGGUUCAUUCUAUUGGAGCAUGGUAUUUGGAAAGCUCUAGGUGCUAGGUGCACUCAUUACUCCCGAUGUGUUUCCAGGUCCUCUCAGUAUAGAGACCUGGGAAACACGUGUUUAUGAACACUUGCAUGUUUAUUCUUAGCCAUCUGUAUAUGUAUUAAAAUCCCUGAGGUCAUACUAUUGCCUCUGAUUGCAAUCCCUAACUGUAGGACUAAUUCCAACUUUCCUUCUGUGCUUACUUGUAGCUCCUUGCUCUGAGAAUCAGAAAUUGGGCUGUCAUUAUUUAUAGUAUAUACUUAUUUAACAAUAUACAAUAUAUACAGAUAUAUACUAUACACACACACACACACAAUAUAUAUAUAUAUACUAUAUAAUUACAGAUUUGCUACCCCAUACCCCUGUAAAAAGAAGAUUUACUGGCUAGAGUAUUUGUGUACUUAAAUACUCUUUUUGAGCACAACCAUGAUCCUUUUAUUAGACCAGAAAAAGCAAAAGCUAAACAUUCUCUAAACAUCAUCAAUAUCCAGUAAAUAUUCAUAUUUCCCUGUUUUAUGAUUUUUAAGUAAUUUUUUAGUUUGUAUCGAAUCUGAAUAAGGUCCCUCCCCUUUCUGAGAUAUAGUUCUAUGAGCCAAUAAAUUCUUCACUUUGCCUGCAUUAUUUUGAUUGUCUGUCCCUCGCCACCAGGCUGUCCUGACAAAAGCAGAGGGAUUGGUCAGUCAGCUCUGCCCUCCCAGAAAAGAACACUAGGAAGAAAGUCUUCUGCCAUAAGGAAAUUAUUUCAGGAAAAGGAACCAGAUGCAAUGAGAAUAUGCACAUGAAUACACCAGAUUAUUUGAGAACACUCUGUUACUCUGUGUAGUUAGCUCUGUGAUAUCAAAUCAUAUAAAAUGAGAGCUCUGAUACCUUCUUUUUUCACUGUAACUUACUACAACCCCCCGCCUCCUCAAAAAACAAAGCAAAACAAAAAGAAAAAACAAACAAACCAACAAAAACAAACCAAAGAAAACCCAGCCACUGAAACCUCAGCAUAAACUCAGGGCAAAGUCAUCAGUAUCUAAUACCUAAUCCCUUUGCUUGUGGAUUUACUAUUCACUUUUCAAUUCGACAGUAUGUUACAGUGAUGUGCUGUAAUUUUCAUUUUAAGCUCUACAACAGAAAUGAUAUUACAUUUAAUAGCUGAAUGGCUUCCAUGUUACAAUUAGAGGUAUCCUAAGCAAUGAGAGGUGGCAAAUUAUCCUUUAAAAACAAAAUUAUAGGACAGUCACAAAGAACUGGCUUUUAAAAGGCUUGCCAACAAGGCAUCCUCGAAGUGAAUAUGGAAUAUGUUUUGCUAAUCUAAACUGUUUGAAUUGAGGUUAUAGUUGCUUUUGAAAGAAUGUUCUUUAGAAAUCCUAGUGUUCACAGAUCAAGAGGGAAGAACUAUUGACGAUAAUAAAAUAAUUGAAAUAGAUUAGUAGUUAUUACCCAAUCAUUUUUUUAAGUUUUAAUUUAAUAUGGGAUCUGUGUCUCUAAUGAGGACUUUGUACUUAAUCCUAGUACAGUUUAAUUCCCUGUGACACUAACACAUUUUAAGAACCAAAGGUUUUUUAAAUGUGCUUUUGAAAUCAUUUUUCUAGUGGGUGGAUUCUUUUCCUGUAGAUUUCACUAGAUGAGAAUUUUGGUUGUCAUUUAAAAAAUCUGCUUUUUAAAGCUACUUCAGUUUAUUCAAAAAAUUUUUUAAAGCAGAUGCUGUUUUUCUUUUCAUUUCUGCUGCUGUUGACUAUGAAACAGAGUAUUUCUGGCACUUGAUCAAUUAAAAUGUAAAUUGUAACCCAGGAUACUUUGCUUUGUAACCAAAUUUCUGUGCAAAGCAUAUGGGAAGACCUCAGUCAUGUUCCCCAGUUUGAAAUAUGCAAGAUACUGUAGGGAAGACGAUGGUCCUCUGUGAAAGAGAAAGGUCUUUGGACUGCUCAUUUUUGUGCCGCCUUAUUAAGGCAUCUCAGCAACUCCCUUUGUCCCUUGAAUUAGCUUCCCAAGACCUAAAUGGUCAAGUCCAGAGUCAUGGACCUCUAUCAUAUGACCUCAGUUAGUCUUUCCAACUUAUUUUCUCCACACACCUUCAGCCCCCUCCUUCCUUCUCAGCUCUGUCCAGAUGUGACCUUCACUUUUCCCUGGACUUGAACUGUAAUUUUUACUCUUGACCUUUUUUAUAUGUUCCUCCCUCUCUCUGCUGCCAGGCACAUUCCUAUACGUUGUCUGAAUCUGCUCCUAUGCAGAGCCCCAGCCUUUGGGAUCCCAUUCCACAUUGCACUGACUGUUCAACCUAUCCUCUAGUUUUGUUAAUUGUCUGCCUGCUCCACUAAAGCAAUGCUUUUCACUGUGGACCAUCAGACUUGCCUGGCAAGCACGUUCGUGGGACUUGACCCUGACACAGUGAAACUUUGUCUCAGGCAAGUAGGCCAUGGAUUUACAUUUUUAACAAGCACUACAGAAAAUUCUUCUGUUUUCUAACAUUGGAACCUUAUUGCAUCAAAGUGAACACUUCCUAAUUGUAUUGUGUCUCAGUGCCUUGUAUUCAUUAGAUCACUAAGUGCUUGCAAAGACCAAACAAGAUGUGGAGCCCUAUACCAAGAGGUAAUCAUCAUCUCCAGUCUGGUUGCUGUUGGCUCACUUGUAUUUGGUACUGAGUUACGGAUGGUAGUGCCUUUAUACUCAGAGUGUGGUCCACGAACCAGCCACUUCUGCAUCGCCCAGAAAUGCAAUAUCUUGGGCCCCAUUCUUAAUAAAUCAAAAUCUUCAUUGUAACAAGCACCUAUAGUGAUUUGUAUGCACAUUAAAGUGAGAGAAGUGCUCACGUAGGGCUGGAGUUACGAUGCACUCUUGGAAUAUAGUGGAAGGGAUUUUGAUCUGUUAGACAAAGAGUGUUUAAUGAGACCACAGAACUUUAAUAUUUUUAUUAAGUUUUUUAUUUUGAGAGAGACCGCAUGCGUGAGCAUGAGUAGGGGAGAGGCAGAGAGAGGGAGAGACGGAAUCCAACGUAAGCUCCCCACCUUUAGCGCAGGGCCCGACUGAUGGCUCGAACUCAUGAACUGUGAGAUUAGGACCUGAGCCGAGAUCAAGAGUCAGACACUUAAUGAACUGAGCCACUUAGGUGCCCUGAAACCAUAGAACUUUAAUCACUGGAGGAUGUGUAUUGAAAGAUUGUAUGCUUUGAGAAGGUAGUGGGAUUGGACAGUUACAUGGACUGUAAUGUGCUGUGGGAGAAACAUGUCUGAAUGAGGCUCCCUGAUGCCUUUACAUUGAUGUAGAUUGGGUUGGGACACUAGGGAGAAAUGCCAUUCUUCCAUCUUUUCCUCCAGGAUUUUCCACAAUAGACUCUGUACCUCGUUCCCUUAAUGAUUGCAGAGUGAGCCAGUUAAUAGUGAUUGCAGGCCUAAUAAGAUGAUGUAAGAUUUGGAAGCAUAAAGUAUCUUCGUGGAGAACCAAACAUUUCACUCUAUAGGAAAUACAUGCCAGGGAAACCUGAGACUUGGGUACACGGGCCUGAGAUGUUUUGGUUUAAUAUUAAAAGAUCUCUAACUUUUUAAGGUUCAGUCAGUAUGCCUACAUGAGUAAGUGGAAGCUGUUAAUGACUUCCAUUGGCUUUUCCUCUUAAUUGAAUCUACUUGGAAACGCUAAGAAAAUGUCACUUGAAUCCUCUCCUUUUGUCUCAUCUUUAAAGUGCUCCUCCCAUUCUCCUCGCCACCCCCCCUCCCCCACCAUCUCAGCUCUAGAGUGCAUGCAGGUGAAAGUCUGUCUUCGAUUUCAGUCCAGCUAGUUUUGGGGGUCUGAUGAGUUGAGCAGGGGCGUGGAUUGAAGGGAAGAUUAGCUUAGGGACUAAGGAAUUGAGCAGCCCAUCAGGUAUCCAAAGUAAGAGGAGUAAUUUCAGUAAAUAUACUGUUCGAAAGUGAGCAGAGAGAAUCACAGCGAUCCCUGUGUCGACUGAAGACAGAUGGGCAGGUUGCCAGGGAGCCAAACUAAGAACUGGAGGGUAGUCAAGUGCCCAGAGAGAAGACAGGGGUGCCUCAGGUAGCUGGAGUUUCAGUAGCACAGGCGUGGCUGCUGCUGUCUGUCAGCUGCCUACAGCCAGGAAGACAGAGCUUCCGCUCAGUAGGUUAGACCAGCGUGUGUGCUCCAUGGCCACAGUGAUUGACAUCUGUGGUGACAGUUGGGCUGAAUCACCUCAGACCGAAUUUGCAUGUAUCGCAUGUCUUUUAAUGUUAAGUGAAUGUUCUAAUUAUGGCACUUUUGGUUUCAAGGGGCAGAAUCUCACUCAAACUAGUUGAAGGUGUGUUAUUGUAAUGAUACAUGGAGAUUUCAGGGAACCCGAGGGCAGAAAGACAGACCUCAUGAGAAAUGAAAGCAGGAAGGGGAGCGUUUUCAGGACCUGAAGCAAUUAUUCUCUCAGGAUUCACUUGGUUUUAUUCAUCUGUAUGUUCCUCUGGAGGAUGUAGUCGCUCUGUCUCUGAUUCUGAUUGUUUCUCUUUCCUUUUCCUCUUGAUUAGUUUUCACUGCUUCCUGAUCUUGCACGUGGCCUCCAUCCCCAAGAUUGUCAUGACUUAUUGGGUUCAAUAUCCAAUGUUGACUGGCAAUAGUCUCUUGUGUCUUUGGUCAAAAUCAAAAGGGAGUGAGAGUACCAGAUUUCUUUAGUUUAUCUCUAUAAGCCAAGCCAAAAAAGUGCUUGACUGUCUUUGAGAGAUAGAGAUUGCAUCCGUAGUCAAUCAGCUGUGUUCAGUUUGGUGUAGGUCAUGUGACACGUAAACCUACUUCCCUCAGAGACGGAAGGAGCAUCAGGUAAUAAAAUAUGUAUGUAUCAUUGCAUUUUUGUCAUGAUUACUUAUGAUAUGUUUAGUUAACCAACACUUGUACAGCUCUGAUUCUUUUCAAGAUACAUUUGGUAGAAUUUACAACCAUGAAUAAAAUAUAAUUGGGGAGAAUUUAUAAUCCAGCGGAGAGACAAUAGCCAAUUAACCAAAACAGAUCAUUCCCUGGAAGUUUUGCAAAUAGAGUAUGUUUAUUGUUGUAUUUUAUGAUACUCUUGAACUUCUUACUUAUUAUCUGACCUCACUUUGUAAAGACAUGCUUCUAAUGAAUCUUUUCCAAAGCACAUCUUGUGGGUUACUUUCGUUGAAAGUAUUUUGUUACAUUUGUUAUUAUGGAGUAAUUAUUUCAUGGCAAACAAGGCUAAUGUGGAAUAUUUGUAGACUGAGGUAUGUUUUCAAAGCCUAGUGAGUUAGCAAAGAGCUGAGGAAUUAGGGCCAAGUGCCUUCAAAUGCUUGUCUUUUUAUUUUUGAAAUUAAAGCUGAUAUUUGAAUAGAUAGAAAAUAUGAGUGAUGAAAAUCUUUGAUCAUCUUAAUAGUAGAUAUCUUUAAAGUGUAAAUUAACUGCUAAUUUAAUUCACUGUAAUGCUAUGUGAAGUGAUGUGUUUUUACUUAAAAACUUGUAAUUUUGAUGAAAAUAUGCAAAUUUUAACCACAUGUUCCAUUCUGGUUAUUUCAUUUUGCCUUUUAAUACAGUUUUCAGAUAGUUCCAAACUUUCUUUUUAUUGAAACACUUUUACUCCUUAUUUUCAAGUACAUUAAAAUAAUAAUUACAUAGGGGCCAUAAGUAAUAUGUCUUUUUUAUCACCAUCGAUUUCAGGAUGAUCUACACGAUCAUUUUUCAUGUACUUCUGAAUUCGAUAAGUACUUUACCUCUUCAUACAAGGUUAGUUAGGUUAUAGGAAAUAAGUAACUACCUGAGAUUCUGUUGUGAGAAUAUAGAAGAAUAACAGGGAACUCCAAUUAUUUAAAUACUAUUCUUUAGUUGUGAAUAAAUUCCAGGAAAAGUGUGUCCAUUUAUAUUCUAUUUCUCUGCUUUUUUUCCCGUAGAACUAAAAUUUUCAAGUAUUUGCCUCUGGAAGUUACUUCCUGUUGAAAGUUUUCUUUAUCAGUAUCCGCAAGAGGCAAGUAACAAAGCUGCCUGCUUUUACAGGAUUCGUAUAAAGGUCAAAUGAGAAUACAGUUAACUCUUUUAUUUAGCAGUAGAUUAAUUGGUGUUUGGAUUAAUUAUGCUAAAGUGAUAAUUGGUAUUCUUAAAAUUUUAAGUUACUGUGAGGCAACGAAGAUAUUCGUGUAUUAGAUAGCAUCUCUUGCUUGUAGUCAUGAUAACAAGUGGAAGCCACAUCAGGUUCAGGUUCAUUGCCUUGUGGGAAUUCCUGCUGCUCUUGUCACAGGCCACCAUGUAGCUUUCAUAGUUUUGACUAUAACUUUUUUUUUUUUUGGUCUGUGGUCUGCCAAAAUUUGAGUGGUAGGGAUGUGUUGUUGAGCCUUUUCAAAUUAAAAUGUGAUCAAAUAACACUAAAAUAUUGGACUCAAGGUAAAACCUGCAUGUUAGUUACCAUUCAAACAACAGCGGAAGUUAGCAAUCAGUUGGAAAAAGGAUACCAUUAAAUAAUUUAUAAUAUAUGGGAAAGGAAUCAGAGGGUUCAUGGUUGGAAAAAGAAUGAAUUGAUGUCUUUUGUUUUUUCAGUAGGUUCUUGAAGCAGAAGACAAAAAACAAAAGGGGAAAAUAAAAAGUCAUUGGUCAAAAGAUCUUGAUCAGAUAAUGCAAGUUGGGUUCCGUCAGCAAGCAAUGGGGACGAGAACUUCACCUUAGCAUCCUGAGGAUUCGGGGCUGACGAGGAGGGUUAUCAAUGAUGCCUGUUACAUUAGUUAUGUUCUGAGUUUAACUGCUUUCCCAGAGACCAUAUGAUAGUGGCUUUAAGUAGAAAGUUUAUUUCUAUCUCAUGUAGAAGUCAGAGCUGAAGGUGAUUUGGGCACUGGAAACCAAGCACGUCUGCUCCCAAAGGUCUUUCUUACUACUCUACCACACAUUAGCAGUGUUUCUUAACCUUGUCCACCCAUGAGAUUCAUCUGGGGAGCUUAAAUAAAAAGAAAGAACAAAAAGAGGGCGCCUGGGUGGCUCAGUGGGUUGGGCAUCCGACUUUGGCUCAGGUCGUGGUCUCACAAUUCGUGGGUUCAAGCCCCGCGUUGGGCUCUGUGCUGACAGCUGAGAGCCUGGAGCCUGCUUUGGAUUCUGUCUCUUUCUCUGUGUCCCUACCCCACUCACACUCGGUCUCCCUCUGUCUCUCAAAAAUGAAUAAACAUUAAAAAAAUUAAAAAAAAA